GACGAACGCUGGCGGCGUGCUUAACACAUGCAAGUCGAACGGAAAGGCCCUGCUUGCAGGGUACUCGAGUGGCGAACGGGUGAGUAACACGUGGGUGAUCUGCCCUGCACUUCGGGAUAAGCCUGGGAAACUGGGUCUAAUACCGGAUAUGACCUUCCAUGUAGUGUGGGGGGUGGAAAGAUUUAUCGGUGUGGGAUAGGCCCGCGGCCUAUCAGCUUGUUGGUGGGGUAAUGGCCUACCAAGGCGUCGACGGGUAGCCGGCCUGAGAGGGUGGACGGCCACAUUGGGACUGAGAGACGGACCAGACUCCUACGGGAGGCAGCAGUGGGGAAUAUUGCACAAUGGGCGGAAGCCUGAUGCAGCGACGCCGCGUGGGGGAUGACGGCCUUCGGGUUGUAAACCUCUUUCGACAGGGACGAAGCUUCGGUGACGGUACCUGUAUAAGAAGCACCGGCUAACUACGUG
rnacentral:rRNA from 1 species